GGGACCCGCACAAGCAGUGGAGCAUGUGGUUUAAUUCGAAGAUACGCGCAGAACCUUACCAACACUUGACAUGUUCGUCGCGAGACUAAGAGAUUAGUUUCUUCAGUUCGGCUGGACGAAACACAGGUGCUGCAUGGCUGUCGUCAGCUCGUGUCGUGAGAUGUUGGGUUAAGUCCCGCAACGAGCGCAACCCCCUACUUUUAGUUGCCACCAUUUAGUUGGGCACUUUAAAAGAACUGCCAGUGAUAAGCUGGAGGAAGGUGGGGAUGACGUCAAGUCCUCAUGGCCCUUAUGUGUUGGGCUACACACGUGCUACAAUGGUACUUACAAUGGGACGCAAAGAGGCGACUCUAAGCCAAUCCCUAAAAUGUACCUCAGUUCGGAUUGUACUCUGUAACUCGAGUGCAUGAAGCUGGAAUUGCUAGUAAUCG
rnacentral:rRNA from 1 species